rnacentral:lncRNA from 1 species
UGAUAUUAGAGUAGAUAGAAUUUGCGACUUUGCAAAUUGGCGCCCGAACAGGGACUAGGCUAGUUGAGUAGCUUAACAGUUUUUUUGGUAUUGUCACUUUUUCAAUUUUACUAUCAGUAAUCACCUCUAAAGUAAGAAAUGGCUGAGAAUAUGAUUAGGGUGCCUGAAGAAGAGUGGGAUGCUACAAUGAAUCAACUUUCUCAUUUAAGAGCUGAAGUAAAUAGUCUUAGAGCACAAAUUGCCCGAUUAAGUUCUCCGAGGAUCUCACCAGCCACCGGAAGGUAUCAAUCGUCCGCAUGGGAACAACGCCAUCCGGAAGCGCCUGUCUUCCCACCAAGGCCAGAAGUGUCAUCACUCUCUCGACCAAUC